CUUCCCAUGGGGCCACAGGGUGCCCAAGUACUUUCCCAAACAACUCUUGUCAACAGUUGAUAUCAGAAUUCUGACCUCUGUCAACCAAAUUAACUGAAAAUUCCUUCCUCUACAACUGACAAGGUUAUUGUCCUACUCCUCACUACCAAAAGGGAAAGCAGGGCCCUCCCUACUGGGUCUGUACUUCAUGCAUAGCAGAGAGACCGGGACCAGCCGUCCCCUCUUGGAGGGGAUGUGUGCCUUCUUGGUUAUUGCUGAGCAUGGGCUUCUGAGUUUACCUAAAUAGACACUGUGCUUAAAUCGGAACUCUAGCAGUUAUCCAUCAGGAGAAAAAGUUGCAGCCUGGGGAUGGUGGAGUGAUAAAACAGAGUCAUCCCUGAGGACCGUAAAGCCAAAACCACCUGGGAGAACUGGCAAAAUUGGCCAUGCCUAGCCUUUAAGUCAUCAAAACUACAUGAUAGACAGUAUAAAAUGAAAACAGAUGAAAUGAAUUUCCACAUGGGUUCUGCCAAGUUUCAUCUUCUCAGUGAGUCCUGAGGAAGUCCAGAAUCCAUUCCCGCAAGUAUGACUGGAAUCUGCAGAAUCUGUGAAUUACUUCUUCAUUCUGCCAACUGACAAACUGCUAAAUGUGCAGGAACACGAGGCAAUGGAA